ensembl:lncRNA
AGGAGAGGCGGCCCAGGGCUCAGACUGCACUUCCGGUGCGCUCCAGGUUCGUGUUGUGAAAGAGCUGCACUCAGCGUGCCAGCAAAUGUGGAGAACUCAGCAGUGCCCACAGCGUUGGAAAAGUGCUCCUGGAUUCCUGCCUUGGAGCUUGCCCCUGUGAACUGUGUUGACCAUCAGCAUUUGUCACCCCAAGAGGCCCCCAGGAAGAUGAAUGAACCUCGUGUACAGGAUUCUUGCCUCAGUGAAGACAGGGCGGAUACCCCACAUGGGUGUUUUUAGCAGUGACUUGGCUUCCCUUCUCUUCUGGCCUGGGGUCUGGCUGGAUCUGAUUUGGUUUCCAGCUGCCCUAGGGGUGGAAUCAGGCACCUCCUCACCACCAUCGCCCCUAACUCCACACUUCUCAUCCAGCCUCAGGGCUGACACAGACCUCCCUGGAC